rnacentral:rRNA from 1 species
CCUACGGGAGGCUGCAGUGAGGAAUAUUGGUCAAUGGUCGGGAGACUGAACCAGCCAAGCCGCGUGAGGGAUGAAGGUACAGCGUAUCGUAAACCUCUUUUGUCAGGGAACAAAGGCGGGUACGUGUCCCCGGAUGCGUGUACCUUAAGAAAAAGGAUCGGCUAAUUCCGUGCCAGCAGCCGCGGUAAUACGGAGGAUCCGGGCGUUAUCCGGAUUUAUUGGGUUUAAAGGGUGCGUAGGCGGACUGUUAAGUUAGCAGGUAAAGCUCCGGGCCUAACCCGGGCCCCGCAGUGGAAACUGGCAGUCUCGAGUUGGAGAGAAGUAUGCGGAAUGCGCGGUGUAGCGGUGAAAUGCAUAGAUAUCGCGAAGAACUCCGAUUGCGAAGGCAGCAUGCCGGAUCCAAACUGACGCUGAGGCACGAAAGCGUGGGUAUCGAACAGGAUUAGAUACCCUAGUAGUC